rnacentral:rRNA from 1 species
CGGAGGAUCCAGGCGUUAUCCGGAUUCAUUGGGUUUAAAGGGUGCGUAGGCGGAAUGAUAAGUCAGUGGUGAAAUCUCGGAGCUUAACUCCGAAACUGCCAUUGAUACUGUCAAUCUUGAGUACAUUUGAUGAGGGCGGAAUGUGUCAUGUAGCGGUGAAAUGCUUAGAUAUGACACAGAACACCGAUUGCGAAGGCAGCUCUCAAAACUGUAACUGACGCUGAGGCACGAAAGCGUGGGUAUCAAACAGGAUUAGAUACCCUGGUAGUCCACGCUGUAAACUAUGAUUACUCGAUGUUUGCGAUAUACUGUAAGCGUCUAAGCGAAAGCGAUAAGUAAUCCACCUGGGGAGUACGCUCGCAAGAGUG